ensembl:lncRNA LINC02523 long intergenic non-protein coding RNA 2523
GACAGUUGCCUUCAUUAGAAACAGUGCUUAAAGCAGGAAUUCCAGCUGGGUGUCCUGUUUCGAAGUUCACUUACUUUCUCUCCUUUCCCUUCCUUAAGAACUCAAAGUAAGGAGAAGGCUAAUUUUGCUAAGGUUUCAGAAAACAACACCCAACUGGUAAUUUAUUGAAACAAAGUGACUUAUUUACUCCUAGAGACAAGUAUAGAACUAUAAAAAGAAUGAAAGAACUCCGAAUAUGUCAAAAUGCUCAUAGUACUACUGUCUCAUCCUCCUCUGCAAAUCCAACAGAAAGGACACAGUAGAGUGGGCAAGAAUGCAAAGAAGGUCUGUGGUUUGGAACUGGCCCAAGCCGAACUAAACUUUUCUAAAUAUACAUUAAACUGUCAACAAAGAGCACCGUGACCCACAGCCUGAAUAAAGGGAGAGCCCCAAGGCCCUCUGAAGCCACUAGUUCUGUGAGUUGUUUUAGGGAGAAGACAGACAACCAAGAAUUAUUUACCUUAUUAGACUGUGCCCAUCCAAGCCCAGGUAAAACUUUUUGAUCAGCAGAAAACUGGAAUUAUUUCCCUUUCUCUAUCCUGGAUUGAGUGUGAAUUCCCCAGAGAAACUUGGCUUUGAGAGCACUAGCUGGACAUAUAGGGGUCCAUUUCCAAUCUGCUCUGAGAAGGGCCCUGUCUUCAUCCUAAAGGAAGGCUUUAGAAAACUGUUAUCUAAGAUCUAGGAUUGAAGAUGGUGAGAACCUGAGGCUGAGCAAUUGGCCCCAAUUCUUCCUGAAGCAUUAUCUGAGAGAGAGAGCCUAGCCUGUGGUUUUUGACCCCUGGCAGAAGGGUGGAGAGAGGGAAGAAGAAAGAAGGAAGAUGAAGACAACUUCCUGCUCAAGACCAACCCAUCUCCCCUCAUUCUGGGGUGACCAAUUGAGAAAACAAUGAUAUCUCCCUUACUCUCAUCUGUUUCCAAAGGCUUUGCUUCAUCUACCAAAAAACCAACUCUCUCCAAAGGAUAUGGUCAUAUUCAUCAUAUAGAUAAGUAAACUAAGGCUCAGGAAAAAUGACUUCCUCAAGGGCAAACCCAGGUGUUGAUCCCUAAUGAAUAUCCGGCACCCCGCAUUCCAUCUCGGUGACUGCUUCCAGAAAACACAAGCUGUGACAUGCCCAUUAUGUACUCAAUAAAUCUUUAAUAAUUGAGUGG